rnacentral:rRNA from 1 species
AUUGAACGCUGGCGGCAUGCUUUACACAUGCAAGUCGGACGGCAGCGGGGCAGUGCUUGCACUACUGCCGGCGAGUGGCGAACGGGUGAGUAAUAUAUUGGAACGUACCGAGUAAUGGGGGAUAACCAAUCGAAAGAUUGGCUAAUACCGCAUACGCUCUGAGGAGGAAAGCAGGGGACCUUCGGGCCUUGCGUUAUUCGAGCGGCCAAUAUCUGAUUAGCUAGUUGGUGGGGUAAGGGCCUACCAAGGCGACGAUCAGUAGCGGGUCUGAGAGGAUGAUCCGCCACACUGGGACUGAGACACGGCCCAGACUCCUACGGGAGGCAGCAGUGGGGAAUUUUGGACAAUGGGCGCAAGCCUGAUCCAGCCAUGCCGCGUGUCUGAAGAAGGCCUUCGGGUUGUAAAGGACUUUUGUUAGGGAAGAAAAAGGAGCGGUUAAUACCCGUUUCUGCUGACGGUACCUAAAGAAUAAGCACCGGCUAACUACGUG